UACGGAGGGGGCAAGCGUUAUUCGGAAUUAUUGGGCGUAAAGGGCGCGUAGGCGGCUAGAUGUGUCAAAGGUGAAAUCCCUCGGCUCAACUGAGGAACUGCCUUUGAAACUGUCUGGCUUGAGUCCGGGAGAGGGUAGCGGAAUUCCCAGUGUAGCGGUGAAAUGCGUAGAUAUUGGGAGGAACACCAGUGGCGAAAGCGGCUACCUGGACCGGUUCUGACGCUGAGGCGCGAAAGCGUGGGUAGCAAACAGG
rnacentral:rRNA from 1 species